AGGGUAAUGGCUCAGUGGGAGAGCGCAUGUGUGGUGUGCACGAGGUCCUGGGUUCAAUCCCUAGUAACUCUA
rnacentral:tRNA from 1 species